rnacentral:rRNA from 1 species
UGCUUUUGACAUACUGAGAAUCUUAUAGAGAUAUAGGAGUGCCCUUCGGGGAGCUUGGAUAC